GUGAGGCCAAGACCUGGAGGUGAGCAGGGUUCUCUAGGCCCUGAGAUCUCACCCUGCUCUCUCCCCACUCAAGGUGGCUCCUGAGUGACAAGCGCCGGGUGCAGCUGGACCCACCACCCGCCUUGACCACGGGCACUUGGGACCUUCCUCCCAGGGUCCCUGGGUCCAAUUGGAGCAAAGAGCAAGCAGCAUCUCAAGACAGUGUGUGAACAAGACAAGAGUCCGUCUGGUGCAGCUUGGAGGUGACAUUGCUUAACUGGCCCUGUUCUGUUGGUUAGAACAAGUUACUAGGUCACCCACACCCAGGGGAGGGGGUUACCCUGAGACACAGGGGUCACUACGGACAUUCAGCACCUGCCAUUGUCCAUCCUCUGACUCCCAAUAAUUUACGUCCCUUCCAGGAGCAAUGCAUACCCAGCUGCCUUUAAAAAAAUUAAACUGGACCAAGGUGCAGGUCCAGUGACCAGAGAGAAGAACAGCAGGGAUGCUGGGGUGGGAGGGCAAGCUUGGCCUUCGGUGCUGCAGAACAGAGGCCCCAAGUGCUGGCUUGGUUUAUAACAGCAACACAUAGACUCUGAUCUCAUUUAUAGACAGAAGUGAAACAAAACUAGGUAUCUUUUAAGAGGACAAUCAGAGGACCCUUCUGGAGUGGCUUGAGGGAAGCUCACCAGUUUACAGCUGUGACCCAGGGUGAGGGUGGCAGCAGGCGGGCAGGGGCUUGGCCUCCGUACUUUGCACACUGAGACAGAGUGUGCAUACUUGUUGGUGUUAUGUCAAACAUGUUCAGCCCAGGUGUGGUGAUGCAGGCCUGUAAUCCCAACAUUCUGGGCGGCUGAGGCAAGAGGAUCAGGAGUUUGAACCAAACCUGGGCAAUGUAGCAGGACCCUGUCUCAAAAAAUAAAUAGAUAAAUAAAAUGGGCUAAGGAUGUCACUCAGAGGGCCGGGGAUUUAGCUCAGUGGUUUCUCUGCCUGCUGUGCAAGCACAAGGACCCGAGUUCAAUCCCCAGUACAAAAAUAAAAAAAAAAAAAAGAAAAGAAAAAGGAUGUCACUCAGUGGGAAGGCCGUGGGGUUUAAUUUCCAGGACCCCAAAACAAACCAAACAAAACAUGUGUUCUAAGUUGCCAUCCAAUGGCUAUAAGAUGCACCAUUAUUUCUGUGUGUCUAAGAGAAAACACUGCUGUUAGACCACAAGACUAGGCCUCAAGGCUGGACAGGCAGGGGCUAUAGCCCCCAAAUGUCAAAAGCAGUGUGAGACAGCCCUGGCCUCUGGGAAAUCUGCCCACUUCUCUGUCUCUCUUGUUUCUCACCCAUCUCUCUCUGUCCCUCUCCCUGGUCCUGCCCG
rnacentral:lncRNA from 1 species